GGGGAUUUGGCUCAGUGGUAGAGCGCUUGCCUAGCAAGCACAAGGUCCUGGGUUUGGUCCCCAGCUCCG
rnacentral:tRNA from 1 species